rnacentral:lncRNA from 1 species
GUUUGUUUAAUAUUAUGUUUGUCUCUCAUUUGAUCAGAUUGCUUUACCCUGAGGUAAACGUCAUAAAAUGGGUCCAGUGCAAGACGUGCAGGGGCUGGCUGCAUCAGGAUUGUGCUGGGAUUGAAAUGGAGCCGUUUGACUGCGGGUGCGAGGACUCCAUUGAGCAUCCUCGGUAUAACAUAAUUUAUCAAGGAAACAUAGUAUCUGUCAAAAAUACGAGGCUCAAAGGAUGAAAAAAUGAGGGCUUGCUCUUUUCUUAUUUCUCUGCAGGAUCAAGGAUGCUGUUGACAGUUGAGGAAUUCAUGCUGUCUUUUCUAAGACACAGAUCAAGGUUGCUUUUGAAUGCACUAUCAGUUGUUAAAGCCA